GUUCAUUGACUUAAGUACAAAAACUUUUUCAAUUGGAGAAACAAGGCCACAAAAUUAAGGUUUAAUAAAGAUUUUACAGUUUGGAGAGUACAAUACAUAGUACUACAGUACUACUACAUAGUACUACAGUACUACUACAUAGUACUACUACAUAGUAGUACUACAGUACUACAGUACUACUACAUAGUACUACAACAUAGUACUAGGUUUUACAAUGUUGAUGCAGCUUGAAAGUUGUGUGUGUCAGUGGGACCCGAUUCCCAUAAUGCAUUACCUUUGUCAGGGAAUACAGUUGAAGUCAGAAUUUAACAUACACUUAGGUUGGAGUCAUUCAAACUCAUUUUUCAACCACUACACAAAUGUCUUGUUAACAAAUUAGUUUUGGCAAGUUGGUUAGGACAUCUAGUGUGUGCAUGACACAAGUCAUUUUUCCAACUAUCUGUUUUAGAUUAUCUCACUUAUAAUUCACUGUAUCACAAUUCCAGUUGGUCAGAAGUUUACAUACACUAAGUUGACUGUGCCUUUAAACAGAUUGGAAAAUUCUAGAAAAUGUCAUGGCUUUAGAAGCUUCUGAUAGGCUAAUUGACAUAAUUUGAGUCAAUUGGAGGUGUACCUGUGGAUGUAUUUCAAGGCCUACCUUCAAACUCAGUGCCUCUUCGCUUGACAUCAUGGGAAAAUCAAAAGAAAUCAACCAAGACCUCAGAAUGUGUUUUUACGUACUUUGAUGAGAAAAGUGCAAAUCAAUCCCAGAACAACAGCAAAGGACAUUGUAAAGUUGCUGGAGGAAACAGGUACAAAAGUAUCUACAUCCACAGUAAAACGAGUACUAUAUCGACAUAACCUGAAAGGCCACUCAGCAAGGAAGAAGCCACUGCUCCUAAACCGCCAUAAAAAAGCCAGACUACGGUUUGCAACUACAUAUGGGGACAUAGAUGGUACUUUUUGGAGAAAUGUCCUCUGCUCUGAUGAAACAAAUGGAACUGUUUGGCCAUAAUGACCAUCGUUAUGUUUGGAGGAAAAAAGGGGGAUGCUUGCAAGCCGAAGAACACCAUCCCAACCGUGAAGCACGGGGGUGGCAGCACCAUGUUGUGGGGGUGCUUUGCUGCAGGAGGGACUGGUUCACUUCACAAAAUAGAUGGCAUCAUGAGGGGGGAAAAUUAUGUGGAUAUAUUGAAGCAACAUCUCAAGACAUAAGACUUAACUGACCGGGGAAUUUUUUACGAGGAUUAAAUUUCAGAAAUUGUGGAAAAACUGAGUUUAAAUAUAUUUGGCUAAGGUGUAUGUAAACUUUUGACUUCAACGGUAUAUUCCCUGUAUAGUGCACUACUUUUGAGAGAAGGGUGCUACUUAGGACACAGCUGUUGAUUUAGAAGCACACAGCCAGUCUUCCUGUGAUCUACCAUUAAAUAACAUGACUAAUACAGUAGUGUUCGGAUCUCACAAACAAGAUGGACGACAAAGAUAGUCUCAAAAAAAAAAUCACUGUCCCGAAUGACCCCCCAAUUCCCUAUUUAGUGCACUACUUUUGUCCUCUGGUAGUGUACUAUAAAGGGAAGAGACUGUCAUUUGGGAUAUACCUUUUGUAGAGUAUCUGCUGAGUAGCCUUGAUUCAGCAUUAUACACAUUAUGCGUCAUAAUACACAAGUGGCUAUCAUCAACGCAGUGUUUAUAUUAUUACUGUGUUCCUGCACUUUAACCUUUUAAAAGAACAACUCUAAAAACAAAAAAAAAGAUCAACUUUUUAAAACAUUUAUUUUAUACACAAACAAAAAAAAGGGGGAAAAUUAAAUAGCUACAUGUCAUUAAACAAAUUGAUCCUCAAAAAAUACCUACAAUUUUCUCUGUACAAUCGUUACGCACAGCGUAAUGAUGGUCUCAUAAUUAACUAUAUAUAAAAAGUUGUUUUUUUAUUAAGUGAUUUUCCUACAGCGUGUAGGGCAUUGUGUUGCCAUAGCAGAAUGAGUGAGAGCCUCCAAAUGUUUUUGAAAAAUUCUGGUAGCUUUCCAAAAAAAUAAUAAUUCCCAGGUCACCGGAAAUGUGCGACCCUAGUGACGCGUUUUUAUAACGAAAUGACCUCUGGACACUACACCUCUUCCCUUUCUGUUCAUGCACAUUAUAAUUGAUCAUUCUUUUAAAGGACAUUAUCAACGUUUUAGUUCUCUCAUAACAUUUACCGAAAGUACAAUGUGAAAAUCAACCAGUCAUCUUUGAAGAACUAUACAUUAGUUUUUGUUUAAAUCUGAACUCAGAUUAAAGUCAAUAAUAAUAACAUCAACUGACUAGCAGCUGGAUCAGCUCUGAGAGAAUAUGGUUUAGUUUCAGCUGGAUCCGGUCUCUGAGAAAAUAUGGUUUAGGUUCAGCUGGAUCCGGUCUCUGAGAGAAUAUGGUUUAGUUUCAGCUGGAUCCGGUCUCUGAGAGAAUAUGGUUUAGGUUCAGCUGGAUCCGGUCUCUGAGAGAAUAUGGUUUAGGUUCAGCUGGAUCCGGUCUCUGAGAGAAUAUGGUUUAGGUUCAGCUGGAUCCAGUCUCUGAGAGAAUAUGGUUUAGGCUCCGUCCCUAAUGACAUCCCUAAUCGUUAUGCACUAAAUGUGGCCAGACAAAGUGUGAAGCUUUACAUUGGGAAUAGGGUUCCAUGUAGGACGUGUAGCCUUGGUGUAGUUACAGGAACUAUAGAUUUGACUUGGGAUGAUGGAAUGUAAGGGCAUAUAAGAGCUGUAUAGACAGUGCUUCAUCAACCCUUAAGCUUUAACCAUGUUCUGUCACCUUCACCACUAGAUUUGCACCUUACGGUUACAUCCCCCAAAAUUCUCAGGUUUUCUAUCAAUUCUGGUUGUUUGGAAGAUUUGUGGAUUUUCCAACCAGGAUUUUCCGGAAAAAAAUCAAGGAAUUUUCAGGGAAUGUUUCCGGAAUGUUGCAACACUAAAUCACCACCUUUCUGUUACUAAGUUAGUAGCUAUACUAAUACUGAUAUGAAUGCAACACCUGUCCUAGGUUCCCUAUAGGAAGGAAUGUCUGCUGCCUUGGUACAGGAGUUAGUAAAACAAGUUCGUUUCACAAGCUGCAGCUGCCUAUCUACCCAGUGAGCAAAAUAGUUUGAAAGACUUAUUUUCAACAUCUUGUGCUCAUAAGAUGCAUUCCGCUACACACCCACAGUUGUUCAUCAGAGAAGUAGAAACAACAACGACAUGAAAAACACAACAUUUAAAAAAAAACUAGUGGACAGAAAGAAAAAGAAGGUUCUGAUAAAAGGUCGACUCUGGGUCGAUCUCGCCGGCUGGUUUGUUGCGUUAAUUCCAUUUUCAGUCAUGCAGAACAAAAAACGCAGUAGCAUCCAGGGAUUAUCAAUAACGCUAUAGAACGAUUACGGUAACGUUACAGAAAACAUAUUAUUGUUAUAGAUUAGAAUCUAAACUGAUCAUAUAGAAGAGUACAGAAGGCCUGUCCGGAGGCUGUCCUCUGUGUCGCUAGCUGGUUGCUACCAGAGAGAACUGAAGAAUACUACAUAUUAACAUGGAGUCUAACUGGACCAGCAGUAAAUGCAGCUACAACGGAUGUUGUUAUUGCAGAAAACAAAUAUAUAAAACAAAAACAAUGUAACUUGUAAUAAGAUUGAAAUGUCUAAUAAACAUGAAUAGAUACCAGCUAUUUAAAAACAAAAUAUCCACCUUAUUCUGUAAGCACUACUUUUACUUGACCAAUUAAACCAGAGAGCAAAAUUCUACCUACCACACCACAGUGCCGCAGAGAGAAACAUAAUCUACCUACCACACCACAGUGCCGCAGAGAGAGACAUAAUCUACCUCUACCUACCACACCACAGUGCCGCAGAGAGACAUAAUCUACCUACCACACCACAGUGCCGCAGAGAGACAUAAUCUACCUCUACCUACCACACCACAGUGCUGCAGAGAGA
ensembl:lncRNA